rnacentral:rRNA from 1 species
GGAAUAUUGGUCAAUGGGCGAGAGCCUGAACCAGCCAUGUCGCGUGCAGGACUACGGCCCUACGGGUCUUAAACUGCUUUUGAUUGGGGAUAAAGGAGGGGACGAGUCCCCUUUUGCAGGUACCAAUCGAAUAAGGAUCGGCUAACUCCGUGCCAGCAGCCGCGGUAAUACGGAGGAUCCGAGCGUUAUCCGGAUUUAUUGGGUUUAAAGGGUGCGUAGGCGGGCUGUUAAGUCAGCGGUGAAACCCCCGGGCUCAACCCGGGGACUGCCAUUGAAACUGGCGGCCUUGAGUACGUUGGGAGUGCGCGGAAUGUGUGGCGUAGCGGUGAAAUGCAUAGAUAUCACACAGAACACCGAUCGCGUAGGCAGCGCGCUACGCCGCAACUGACGCUGAGGCACGAAGGCGCGGGGAUCGAACA